rnacentral:rRNA from 1 species
GACGAACGCUGGCGGCGUGCCUAAUACAUGCAAGUCGAACGCAGUGGGGACGGGUGAGUAACACGUGGGUAACCUCCCAUCAGAGGGGAUAACACUUGGAAACAGGUGCUAAACCGAUACUGAUGGAUGAACCCGCGGUGCAUUAGCUAGUUGGUGGGGUAACGGCUCACCAAGGCCACGAUGCAUAAACGACCUUCUAUGGUGAGCGGCCACACUCGGAAUGAGACACGGCCCAGAUGCCUACGUGUGGCAGCGUUAGGGAAUCUUCGGCAAUGGACGAAAGUCUGACCGAGCAACGCCGCGUGAGUGCAGAAGGUUUUCGGAUCGUAAAACUCUGUUGUUAGAGAAGCGGUAUCUAACCAGAAAGCCACGGCUAACUACGUGCCAGCAGCCGCGGUAAGAC